AUACAAUGAUGUGGAUAUCUUCUGAACAACUCUUUAUAUCUUUCCCAAGCUUCAUAAAGUAAUUCUCCUUCCUGUGGCACAAAGGAUGUGAUUUCCCCUCUUAGUUU